GCUGAUAUGGCUCAGAUGGUAGAGCACAUCCUUGGUAAGGAUGAGGUCACCGGUUCGAUUCCGGUUAUCAGCUCCA
rnacentral:tRNA from 1 species